AUUGAACGCUGGCGGCAUGCCUUACACAUGCAAGUCGAACGGUAACAGGUCUUCGGAUGCUGACGAGUGGCGAACGGGUGAGUAAUACAUCGGAACGUGCCCGAUCGUGGGGGAUAACGAAGCGAAAGCUUUGCUAAUACCGCAUACGAUCUACGGAUGAAAGCAGGGGACCGCAAGGCCUUGCGCGAACGGAGCGGCCGAUGGCAGAUUAGGUAGUUGGUGGGAUAAAAGCUUACCAAGCCGACGAUCUGUAGCUGGUCUGAGAGGACGACCAGCCACACUGGGACUGAGACACGGCCCAGACUCCUACGGGAGGCAGCAGUAGGGAAUAUUGGACAAUGGGCGCAAGCCUGAUCCAGCCAUGCCGCGUGAGUGAAGAAGGCCCUCGGGUUGUAAAGCUCUUUUGUCCGGAAAGAAAAGCGCCGGGUUAAUACCCUAGUGUCCUGACGGUACCGGAAGAAUAAGCACCGGCUAACUUCGUGCCAGCAGCCGCGGUAAACU
rnacentral:rRNA from 1 species